rnacentral:misc_RNA from 1 species
GAUGAAGAACGUAGCGAAAUGUGAUAAGUAGUGUGAAUUGCAGAAUUCCGUGAAUCAUCGAAUCUUUGAACGCACAUUGCGCCUCCUGGUAAUCCGUGAGGCAUGCCUGUCCGAGCGUCAGUAAAAAGCAACUCGGCCGCGGCUGGCGGUUGGUGAUGGAGGAAGAGCACGUCUCGUUGUCGGUCUCCCCUCCCAAAAUCAACGGCGGAAUGUCACUGGCACUCGGUGUUGUAGUAUUAUUCGCCGAUCACCCAUUGUUGUUCCUGCCGCCCAAACCCCCACAAUUCUCUUGAUUGACCUCGGAUCAGGUAGGGAUACCCGCUGAACUUAAGCAUAUCAAUAAGCGGAGGA